UUUGUUGUUGGACAUAAUAAGCAUUUAAAAAAUCUCAGCACUUUGGUUUUAAAGUAACUCGACCGUAAUAGAAAAACUCUUUUGUUCCUCUAUAAUCGAAUCGCUCUCUUACACGUCUUUAGACAAGAUGAGUAUCCAGUUGUUGCUGUUGCAUUUUUAUGAUUUUCUGCAAUGUGGUAGCGUCGCGACGCCAGGUAUAAAAAAAAAGUUUGUCAAAAUUUGUGACUACGGCACUGGCAUUUCGAAGCGCUACCGCAGUAUCGACCGCAUCGAAGCGCUACCGUUAGCUUUAUCUCGAGUUUUCGCCUUGCCCAUUUUUUCCGUUCAAUUAACUCGGAUUUACUCAGAAACAAAGGUUAUAAUGAAAAAAAUUCUAAUGAUACUUUUAUAAUGAUUUUUUUUUAGCUUUCGAUUGCGACCGGUCCGAAUGAAAUCGAUUCAGUCAAUCCCGAGAUUUCGACAGCGAGUCUAUGAAAAGUGUCACUUCGACGAUUCAGUUUUCAGUGUUCGUCUUCUUGUCGUUCAGUCUCGCGAGUGUCCGCCAAGGCGCAUUUACAACGCUCAAGACGGGCGACUGUCCGUCAAGAUGGGUUCUUAUGUGAGGUUAUGCAUUAUGUAGCUACCUAAUUGAGAGAGCGCUCGAGAGAGAGAGGAGAGAGAGAUAUGCAUUGUGUAGCUACCUAAUUGAGAGAGCGCUCGAGAGAGAGAGAGAGAGAGAGAGAGAGAGAGAGAGAGAGAGAGAGAGAGAGAAAGUAUAAUGCUUUUGUAUUUUCUUCCUUGAUUAGUCCGUCUCAUUAAACGAUUGCGAUACGACUCUUUUACUGCGACCCCAUUGUAGAUGCCGCUUUAUGUUUCUAAAAAUAUUUAUAAAAUGUUGAUAUAUAUUUCAUAAACAUUAUUAGAAAUAAAAGUAUAUUUUUACAAGUUAUUGUAGUGUGCGCGCGACAUGCGAUCGCCGCGAUCUCAUCUUUUCGAUCGUCUGUGUGUGUGUAUGUGUGUGUUGUGUGUGUGUGUGUGUGUGUGUGUGUGUAUGUGUGUGUGUGCGCGCCCACUGUCACCAUGUGCCUCCCGUGUGCCGGCUUUUUUGUUCCAACUAUGUAAUGUUUAUCAAGAAUAAUGUUCCUAAUAAGUUUGAAAUAAAAGUUGGCCGAAACAAUAUUUUGGAAGAUUCGUACCACAUAUUAUAAGCUCGAAUCCGUUAAGAGUUGAUAUUCUAAAGACGAAAUUAUGGGUAGAAUUUAAAGGAGAGAUAGGCUUAGAUUACGGUGGCCUUGCAAGAGAAUGGUUCUUUUUAUUGUCUAAAGAAAUGUUUAAUCCAUACUAUGGACUUUUUGAGUAUUCUGCAACCCAUAAUUAUACACUGCAAAUUAAUCCUUGUUCUGGUAUAUGUAAUGAGGAGCAUUUAAAUUAUUUUAAAUUUAUUGGACGUAUAGCAGGAAUGGCUGUUUAUCAUGGUAAACUUCUGCGAUGCUUUCCUUAUUCGACCAUUUUAUAAAAUAAUGUUGGCUAAACCAAUUGAUCUGAAAGAUAUGGAGAGUGUUGAUUCUGAAUAUUACAACUCUCUUCUAUGAAUUAAUGAAAACGAUUCCAGUGAAUUAGAACUCACUUUAAGCCUUGACGAAGAAAGCUUUGGUCAUACUUCCCAAAGAGACUUAAAGCCGAAUAGUGCUAAUAUUCCUUUGACCGAUGAAAAUAAGGACGAGUAUAUAAGUUUAGUUAUUUGGCUGCUAUAACAAUGUGAUAUUACGAUAUUAAUUUAUUAAUUGAGUCUUUUCUUGGUUAAUAAGAUUAUAAUGUUGUUAUGAAAUGCAAUUUAUGUAUAUGGCUGUAUAUGGUAAAAUUUUGACAAAUUGUUUUCAAAUGACAUUGUAAUCAUGUAGAAAUGAGAACAAUCAAUGUCAUUUUGACUUAAACAUUCUCUGCAUAUAGAUAUACCUUCUUUUUUCCACAUUCAAAUCAUGAGAUGUUAUUAUAAUGUUAUUUUGUUGUCAAUAAAUUCAAUUCUUUAAAUUUGCACUCACAUAAAACCAAAUUUUGGCAAAAAAUUACUGUCUCGAUACAUUCUAUAUAAUUAAAAGUUUCUCUUAUUUUAUAUAUCGCAUAUUGA